ensembl:lncRNA
UAUGUGAUAGGCAUCUGGGCUCUGAGAGUGAGGUUAUGGCACUCUCUCUAACUUCAAGAUGCUCAUCUUCCUUAGGGGAGGCAGAGAGAAAGAAAUAGUUCCUAAUACCUUCACAGAAGAAAGCAAAGGAACAUCAACAGAUGUACUGUGUCUACAUUUAUCCAGUUGUUCCUUCAAAAACUGACAAAUUCUGCACCCAGGAUUUAAGAAGGGAGAGAUAGCCCUCUUCUCUUGCCUAAGUAAAUGCAUCAACCAAA